rnacentral:lncRNA from 1 species
CGCGCGCAAAUACAUACACACACAUGUACAUGAAAAACCCUAGACAUUGAAUCCAACAUUCUAAUAAUUCAUUUGUCUCAUGUAAGAUUUCUUUUUUAAAAAAAAAAAAAUCGUUUAUUUUUUUUUAUUUGACAGUAUUUCUAUUACCUGUUGAAAAUAUUCCGUUUUCGUUGUUGAUUUUCAUUCUUUGGAAUUUACAAGGCGGAGGAGGAAAAUUGGAAUUCCCAUAAUACCCCUCGGUUGAAGCAGCUGAUGAAUCUCCUACAACUGAUUGUGAAAAAAAGAAAACUUUCGGAGGAGGCAUCGUCAUAUGAUGAGUUGAGUGAAGCAGCGAAACCGAGUGAUUUAGCAUGUAAUUUUGAUGUGCUGAAGUUUGAUGGAGAAAAUUGCAGAAAGGCAAUUGCUAGGACGGUAAUGGUAAAACAUUUACUUUUUAAUGUUCUGUAACUGCACUUUGUCAUAGUUUUAGUCUGCACUUUGCGCUAGUUUUAAUCUCCCAGAUUCGAUAACUGUUGGUAUAUUAGAGGCAGCAAUUGAAAACACUGUUUAGGGAGGAUCCCCAAAGGGUACCUAUGUCUCAAUUAAAUGGCUAGUGAAUGGCAGUUGCAUAGGAAGAUGCUGAAUUUUCUUUUUUACUUCCGGAUAAGGGCCGGGGAGACCAUUGGGAAGCUAAUUGAGAGUUCUUUGCUUGACUUGGGAUAUUAAACAGGUAUUGGCAAUUACGGUUGAUAAUUCAAGUGUUUACGGUGAUGCUAUUAGUUAUGUCAAGAGGUAGUUGAACGAUUGGAGUGGAAAUGCGCUGUUGUUGGAUGGUGAGCGGAGGUUUUCUUAUGAUAACCCUAAGGUUGAAGAGAUGAUCAAAGAGGUUAAAGAGCCCUUGUCGCGUCUUUAUGAGUUGUACGGUGCAUUGAACACUUCCGGUGACACCAAAGCUCCUAUCGAUGCUCAAGCAAGUGGAACGGAUAUGGAAAAUGGAAAAGACAGAGAUGAUUCUGAGUGGAGGUCUUCUUAUAAGAAGUAUUUGAAAGGAAAAUAUGGCACUAAGCUGACAAUUCAAGAUGAUAGGUACUUGUCGGGAACUAAUGAGUUUUUCGAAUGGCAACUUCAAACAAUCUAAAAUGGUGGAAAGUAUGUUCUCAGAAGUACCCUAUUUUAAUAGCGAGGGACCUAUUUUUUAUUCGAGUAUCUGAGUUUUCAUUUAACACUGAUGGGCGGAUUCUUGAUUUGUUUCAAAGUUCAUUGGGCCUUGAGACAGUUCAGGCGGUAAUAGGUUUACAUAAUUGGUUACAAUCCUCUGCUGCUCGUGUAGAUAAUUUCACCCAGGAGAUGGAGAUUAAUGAUUUAAUUGAAUCUGGUAACAAUUUAAAGGCUUGUUGCAAUUUGUCUUUAUUUAUUCAGUACUUUUUUAAUUAGUUCCUAUAAUGUUUUCUCUUUUUGCCUCGUUUGUUUCAAGUAGAGCUUUAAGGAUCAUGACAAGGAAUGGAGCAUAUGGCAUAUGGCUAUGAAUUAAUAUGAUAUCCUUGCUAAUUGUUUUAAUAAGGUACUUAUUGACUUCUUAAGAUUUAAGUAUUCUGUUUAUCUUAUCUUAUGCCUAACAUAUUUUGCUUUCAUUUUGUUUUUUAGUUGGCGGGUAAUGUUUUAAGGAUUGGAAACUAUGAGGUUCUGAAUUUCAAAUUUUGAAACGGGAUCAUGCAUGCUUGGGGGCUUAGAAGUGAUGUUGGAGUGUGGAUUGAGGAAACAAAUACAUCUGGAUUGGAAUGCUUGGCUUUGAUGCAUUGAAGUCAAUAGGUAUGUAUCUAUAGUGUUCUUCAUCUGGUCUACUCUGAUUCUCAUUCUAUAUAUUAUAAAACCACUCAUAGUGAUAUAACAAUGACAUAUUGAUUUGGUCGAGUUUUCAUCUUUAAUUUUCCCAGAUAUUUGAUCUCAAGUGAGAAAUGAAUGGUAAAACACCAUACCACCUGUUCUUUCAAAUACAAGUCAGUAAGGAUCAUCUCAGUAUCAAAUAUAUAUAUAUAUAUAUAUAUUCACAUUUUAUUUGGCUGAAACCAAAGUUGUAUAAUAAGCGCAAUUUUUUUGAAAAAAAUAUAAGAAUUUAAUCCUGAACUUAUAACCAAUCCCUGAACUGCAUUGGUUUGGAUCAACUCUGUUUGAGCUUCAAAUUUGGGUUGGUUUGGUUUGAACUCUCAGACAGCCCAAACAGCUGAGAUGCCAUAGGUUUCUAAUUCCAGCCAACCUAAUUCAUGCUUACUCUUGGUAAGUCCCAGAUAUACGUUACAAAUACAACAAUAUCAAGAAGUUUUAGUGGAAGUAUAAAUGCAGUUGAUAAAUAGAUUGUCCCUACAAGUUUGUUUCUAGCUCUAACCAACCUAAUUCAUGGUUACUUUUACAAAAACACAAUGUUUGGUGUACACAUAUAUACUUUCUGUUCCAUCAUCGACUAACUAAAAGAAUUCUUUGCGCAUGUUUUACUGCUUGAUUUUAAACUAUUUAGUCUUCCGCAGCCUUAUGUUAUUGAAGGAGAAUUGAAUUACUUAUCCUCACUCCCACAAAAACUUUUCUAGAGCAAGAGAAUUGCUCAAUUUUCAUUGUUGCUUAACUGCUUUUAUUGGAUCAUCAUUUAUAUUCUCGGUCUGUAUCCUUUCUCUGAAGUCUUAAAUUAUUGCUGGUACAAAUGUGUUGCUGAUCUUAACCACAGAUCCAGCUCUUUAACUUUUGUGGGAGAAGCUGGAUUGAAUCAACAAAACUUAGGUCCAGCCAUUUCGCAUGUUUCCAGUUGCUUUCACUUCAAAUUUUAUGUACUUAAAUCUUUUGAAAGACCCUGAUCAGUGUACAUUGUACAACAAAAUUGACAACUCAGCUUUAAUUCUAUUUAAUUAAGGCGUUCUAAUUGAGUAUGGCUAGUUCUGGUCUCUGGGUUCUGAAUUCAUUUAACCUCAAGAUUUCUAUGGUAUAUUUAUUUGUUUGGCCAUAUAUUGCUGAUGUACAACUGAACGUAAAAGAUUUCUGUAAUCUUACACAAUGAUAAUGAUCUAGAGGACUCAUUUUCCAACUAACAGAUUCCAUUCUCUAUCUUUGGCUAGAAUUUCCUCUCCAUUAUUUGGAUGGUGAUUUGACAACUACCUGGGGGGGGAAAAUAUCACUGAUCCUUUCAAGAUGAAAGGACUGAGAACCCGCAACCACCAUUAAUUGCUGGUAAUUUGAUUGAUUAAUCAUCCAGAUUGAAUUCAAGCUGAAGCUAGGUUGAAAACAAUUAGGUACUGUAUGUUAAAAAAAAUCUAGCUGGUGUGGCUUAAAAUUUGGGCUUAAUUUUGAAUUAUUUUCCUCAUGAAAUCGCAAUUUUUAAAAUAUCUUAAGUUAUUGUAAACAUAUUUAUUUCUCUUUUUUUUUUAAGGAAAUUUAAAUUUUUAUCAACAGGUCA